CACGUAGGGCGCAAGCGUUGUCCGGAAUUAUUGGGCGUAAAGAGCUCGUAGGCGGUCUGUUGCGUCUGCUGUGAAAACCCGGGGCUUAACCCCUGGCUUGCAGUGGAUACGGACAGACUAGAGGUAGGUAGGGGAGAAUGGAGUUCCCGGUGUAGCGGUGAAAUGCGCAGAUAUCGGGAGGAACACCGGUGGCGAAGGCGGUUCUCUGGGCCUUACCUGACGCUGAGGAGCGAAAGCGUGGGGAGCGAACAGG
rnacentral:rRNA from 1 species